rnacentral:rRNA from 1 species
GACGAACGCUGGCGGCGUGCUUAACACAUGCAAGUCGAACGGAAAGGCCCUGCUUUUGUGGGGUGCUCGAGUGGCGAACGGGUGAGUAACACGUGAGUAACCUGCCCUUGACUUUGGGAUAACUUCAGGAAACUGGGGCUAAUACCGGAUAGGAGCUCCUGCUGCAUGGUGGGGGUUGGAAAGUUUCGGCGGUUGGGGAUGGACUCGCGGCUUAUCAGCUUGUUGGUGGGGUAGUGGCUUACCAAGGCUUUGACGGGUAGCCGGCCUGAGAGGGUGACCGGCCACAUUGGGACUGAGAUACGGCCCAGAAUCCUACGGGAGGCAGCAGUGGGGAAUAUUGCACAAUGGGCGGAAGCCUGAUGCAGCAGCGCCGCGUGCGGGAUGACGGCCUUCGGGUUGUAAACCGAUUUCGCCUGUGACGAAGCGUGAGUGACGGUAAUGGGUAAAGAAGCACCGGCUAACUACGUG